UGAACAGCAAUUGGACAUGGGUUAGUCGAUCCUAAGAGAUAGGGAAAUUCCGUAUGAAAGUGUGCAUUUUAAUUGCGCCGCCUAUCGAAAGGGAAACAGGUUAAUAUUCCUGUACCUGGGCGUGGAUAAGGGUGGCAACACAAGUGAACUUGCCGACGGCAGCGGGGAGUCCGGGAAGAGUUAUCUUUUCUUUUUAACAGCCUGUAGCCCUGGAAUCGGAUUACCCGGAGAUAGGGUGAUGUGGCUGGGAAAGCACCUCACCGC
rnacentral:rRNA from 13 species